rnacentral:rRNA from 1 species
AUUGAACGCUGGCGGCGUGCCUAACACAUGCAAGUCGAGCGGUAACAGGUGUAGCAAUACAUGCUGACGAGCGGCGGACGGGUGAGUAACGCUUGGGAAUCUGCCUAUUAGUGGGGGACAACCCGGGGAAACUCGGGCUAAUACCGCAUACGCUCUACGGAGGAAAGCCGGGGACCGCAAGGCCUGGCGCUAAUAGAUGAGCCCAAGUCGGAUUAGCUAGUUGGUAGGUAAUGGCCUACCAAGGCGACGAUCCGUAACUGGUCUGAGAGGACGACCAGUCACACCGGAACUGAGACACGGUCCGGACUCCUACGGGAGGCAGCAGUGGGGAAUAUUGGACAAUGGGCGAAAGCCUGAUCCAGCGACGCCGCGU